UACGAAGGGUGCAAGCGUUACUCGGAAUUACUGGGCGUAAAGCGUGCGUAGGUGGUUUGUUAAGUCUGUUGUGAAAGCCCCGGGCUCAACCUGGGAAUGGCAAUGGAUACUGGCAGGCUAGAGUGCGGUAGAGGGUAGUGGAAUUCCCGGUGUAGCGGUGAAAUGCGUAGAGAUCGGGAGGAACACCUGUGGCGAAGGCGGCCCCCUGGGCCGGCCCUGACACUGAGACGCGAAGGCGUGGGGAGCGAACGGG
rnacentral:rRNA from 1 species